UGCGCAGGCGGUUAUGUAAGACAGAUGUGAAAUCCCCGGGCUCAACCUGGGACCUGCAUUUGUGACUGCAUAGCUAGAGUGCGGCAGAGGGGGAUGGAAUUCCGCGUGUAGCAGUGAAAUGCGUAGAUAUGCGGAGGAACACCGAUGGCGAAGGCAAUCCCCUGGGCCUGCACUGACGCUCAUGCACGAAAGCGUGGGGAGCAAACA
rnacentral:rRNA from 1 species